CACUUAUCAGAAUUCAAGGCUAAUUUGACGAACAUGAAUAUCCAGGUUCAAAACUAGUUCCUAACUAGCUAGGACAGUUUCAGAAGCUUUGAGGGCUGGUCAGUUUGAGGUAAGUAAGGCUAACUACAACCCAACGAACAGUAAUUAUUGUUGUUGUUGUUCUUCAAAUCAAGCAUUGACAUUGCUGCUGGUCAGCAACCACGUAAUCACUGUCAAGCCCCGACAAAAAGCCCUGGUCUGCUUCGGCAACUUCUUCCACUGCUUCUCCAUCAGUACCGUCAUAGCCAGAUUCAUCCAGGCACCUCCCACAUCACACCCCUCGCGGACAAGAUAUUGAUACCAGGUGUUGCGCAGGCCCCAACACAGACAGUAGCGGACCGACCCUAACAAACAAAAUCAACGCCAUUUUUCAAAAAGUCCAGCAGCCAUGCUUCCAUUUAACCCCCUGAGAAACACAUGACAAAUUGAGAACAUAACAUUUCCAACUUCGAUGGCCACUUCAUGAGUCAAGGGCUUUCCUGAACCUGGACAACGACUUUGCUGCGGGAUGAAAACUUGGUGGGAUGAAGCAAUCAUCAUCAUGCCCUACAGGUCACUCAUCCACGGGCUAGAUUAAGAUUAAGGUAAUAUCCCCCUCGCCCAUCUUGGUUAGGAUGGACUCGCUGUACCCGGCUAGUUUGAUAUAUUAGCCCGGAGGAAGGGUCUACUCGAAUGUGAUGUGCGAGUUUGAAUUUCCUCAAAAGAUUUUUGGAUUUCAACAUUCCUGCCCACCCAGAAAAAUGGUUGACCUUGUUUGUCUACAUACUACGUAGACGGAUAGUCCUAAAUUCUUGAGGGCCUCGAACCAGGGGGGUAUUUGAUACCCCAUUCCACCAAAGUGUCAUAUCCCUUCCGCCCAGUUCGAUCUGCCAGAAUCCGUUGGUUUGCCGCUCCCAAUGAUACUCAUUGAGCCGGGGUCAGACCAGAGCCUGUAAAAUCAGCUGUUAUGUCAUGUUUGACAUAACCCUGAGAGCCGCGUGUCCAUUGAGAUACACAGUGAUCACUAUUCUUUACAUGUCUAGAAUUUCGUGCUGGGUUUGACUGAGGAAUUUUCUUUGUUAAAAGCUGCAGAUUCCCUGAUUAGAGGGAACGAGACUGAAGACUGUCUGAUUUUUGAUGCUGUUUGGAGUUUUCGCUGGAGCUAUUUUCAAUCAUCGGUAUGCAUGCAGACAUUUUGGAUAUGGCGUGUUUAACCAAUGAACUGUUCAUUUCUGCCCUUUAAAACAGAGCGCCAUUGGGAUCACAUUCACGGUUCUUGGGAAUCGGGCGCUGUACGGCCAUGCUUCUCAAUGCAUGAAAUUUCAUAUUGACGGAAAUGCGUUCUCGGCCCUUGUCCUCUCCGUGGUGGGGAUUCUUAUGUUCAUGCAUGAAAGGCAUAUGGGUCCUCCUCUCUUCCCCCCUUCCCACAUUCUCAUCCUGCUAUGGGGUUGUUCUAUUCUGCUUGGCCCUGGCGAAGAGAAAACAACAGACAUCGCAUCACAACACAAACACCCACUGGUACCCACCCCUAAGCUCUACACAGCUCUC
rnacentral:sRNA from 2 species